ACCCGCUGAACUUAAGCAUAUCAAUAAGCGGAGGAAAAGAAACCAACAGGGAUUGCCUCAGUAACGGCGAGUGAAGCGGCAACAGCUCAAAUUUGAAAUCUGGUCCUUCCGGGGCCCGAGUUGUAAUUUGUAGAGGAUGUUUCGGGCGCGGCGCCGGUCUAAGUCCCUUGGAACGGGGCGUCAUAGAGGGUGAGAAUCCCGUAUGUGACCGGUGACCAAGCCCACGUGAAACCCCUUCGACGAGUCGAGUUGUUUGGGAAUGCAGCUCAAAAUGGGUGGUAAAUUUCAUCUAAAGCUAAAUACCGGCCAGAGACCGAUAGCGCACAAGUAGAGUGAUCGAAAGAUGAAAAGCACUUUGGAAAGAGAGUCAAAAAGUACGUGAAAUUGUUGAAAGGGAAACGCUUG
rnacentral:rRNA from 1 species